AUUAAGCCAUGCAUGUCUAAGCACAUGCCUUUAAACGGUAAAGCCGCGAAUGGCUCGGUAUAACAGCUACGGUUUAUUAGAUUUUAGUUAUCUACUUGGAUAACUGUGGUAAUUCUAGAGCUAAUACAUGCAAGAAAGCUCAGACUUUACGGAACGAGCGCAUUUAUUAGAUCAAAACCAAUCGAAUUUCGGUUCGUGUUUUGGUGACUCUGAAUAACUAAGUUGAUCGCACAGUCUUGUACUGGCGACGUAUCUUUCAAAUGUCUGCCUUAUCAACUUUCGAUGGUAGGUUAUACGCCUACCAUGGUUAUAACGGGUAACGGAGAAUAAGGGUUCGACUCCGGAGAGGGAGCCUGAGAAAUGGCUACCACAUCCAAGGAAGGCAGCAGGCGCGCAAAUUACCCAAUCCCAGUACGGGGAGGUAGUGACGAAAAAUAACGAGAUAGUCCACUUUGUGGCCUGUCAUCGGAAUGGGUACAAUCUAAAUCCUUUAACGAGGAUCCAUUAGAGGGCAAGUCUGGUGCCAGCAGCCGCGGUAAUUCCAGCUCUAAUAGCGUAUAUUAAAGUUGUUGUGGUUAAAACGCCCGUAGUUGAUUUUUCGACUCCGAAGGAUGGUAGCUCGAAAGAGUUUAACUGUCUCUUCGAGUCUGAAUUUGAGUUUUCUGCCGAUGCUCUUUGCUGAGUGUCGGUAGUGACUUGAACGUUUACUUUGAAAAAAUUAGAGUGCUUAAAGCAAGCUUUACGCUUGAAUAGAGUGCAUGGGAUAAUGGAAUAGGACUUUAGUCUCAUUUUGUUGGUUUUUAAAGAUUAAAGUAAUGAUUAAGAGGAACAGACGGGGGCAUUCGUAUUGUUGCGUUAGAGGUGAAAU
rnacentral:rRNA from 1 species